GCGCCCCGGCCCGCCAGCCGCGGCUCGCGCGAGGCCCCGCGCCGCCGCCUUCCCGGCGCCCCCCGCGCGCCCUCCCCCUGCCCGGCUCGGAGGGCGGGCGCGGCGGCGCGCGUGCGCCGGGGGGCGGCCUGCAUGGCGGCGCCUGCGGGAGCCGAGGCGAGGUUGAGUAGGUCAUCUUGUAAUGGAAGAAGGUGGAGCUGACCAUGAUGUUGCUAUGGAAGGAUCUAAUGAUUUGUUCAUAGACAACUGUAAUGGCACAGAAGAGUCAGAAACGAAUGAUCGGGUUUUUCAGCAAUUAACCUGCAUGGAUUCCAGGGAUCCAUUGUUCGGACAAAGUAACUCUCCUGCAGCCUUGCCCAUCACAGUACGCCUCUCAGGAAGUUCUCCAUCAUCAGCUGUGCCUGUGCGGCCACCCCAGCUGCAGCCUCACUCUGCAGAGGAGUUUCACUUGGUAGACCAAACUGGGCAGCCUCUCUAUGAACUGCAGCCCCUAGGAGGGCCCAGUGCACCGAUGAUGAUUGUUGCCAGCCAGUCAGAAAAUGGACAGGUGCUGCAUGUCAUUCCUUCUGCCCAGCCAGGAAUGGCCCAAGUGAUUAUUCCUCAAGGUCAGCUUCUGGAUGUGACCAGCACGCAGGAUGUUGCGGAAGAGAAGUGUGGUGAUGGGAACUUGCAGACUGUGGUGGUGGCUGCUAUAGCAGACAGUGCAAGCAGUUACAUUCUACAUCCACAGGCAUCUCUCACUGUAUCGAAAAAACCAACCACCAGGGUAGUGGAAGAUCCCUUUCCCAUCCCUCUCCAGCCAUUGCCACCAAAUACACCUGCAUGGGCACGCCGUCUCAGGAACUGUGAGAAAAUUGGGGACUCGUACCGCGGCUAUUGUGUGAGCGAGACAGAAUUAGAGAGUGUUCUAACGCUACACAAGCAGCAAACACAAAGCGUGUGGGGGACGCGCCAGUCUCCAAGCCCAGCCAAACCUGCCACACGAUUGAUGUGGAAAUCUCAAUAUGUCCCAUAUGAUGGGAUCCCCUUUGUCAAUGCAGGAAGCAGAGCCAUUGUAAUGGAGUGCCAAUACGGGCCAAGGAGGAAAGGGUUCCAGCCCAAAAAAGCGGGUGAGCAGGAAAGCGCCUCUGGCCAUCUGUACAAAGCCACUUGUCCAGCAAGGAUCUAUAUUAAAAAGGUUCAGAAGUUUCCGGAAUACAGGGUUCCUACUGACCCUAAAAUUGACAAGAAAAUCAUAAGAAUGGAACAGGAGAAAGCAUUCAACAUGCUGAAGAAGAACUUGAUAGAUGCUGGCGGUGUCCUCAGGUGGUAUGUACAGUUACCCACUCAGCAAGCCCACCAAUAUCAUGAAAUGGAAACUUCCUGCCUCCCUUCUUCACCUUCCCAUUUUUCUGUGUCUUCUCCUGAGGAAGAGGAGGAAAUUGUUAGAGAUGAGAACUGUACUUUGCCCUCCCGACUUCAUCCUCAAGUGGCAGACAAGAUACGAGAACUGGUGUCUCAGGGAAUAGAGCAAGUCUAUGCAGUGAGGAAGCAACUAAGAAAGUUUGUGGAAAGAGAAUUAUUCAAGCCUGAUGAAGUGCCAGAAAGACAUAACCUGUCCUUCUUCCCCACUGUGAAUGACAUCAAGAACCACAUUCAUGAAGUGCAGAAGUCCCUGAGGAAUGGCGAGAUGGUGUAUAAUUCAGAAAGUAUCCCAGCAACACUGCAGUGGACCACAGACAGUGGGAAUGUUCUCACAGAAACAGUGACUGUUACAUUUGCAUCACCACCUUCAGAUGGGAGCUCAGCAGCAGAGUCAGUCAUCAACAAAGCAGAAUCCAACCAGAGCGGGGAGUCCUUGCUACCAGAAACAGCUCAGCUGUUGUCUUCACUCUCUUCACUUCAGCCCAAGAUAUUUGCACAACUUCAGGGAUUACAGCUGCAGUCAACUUGUACCUCCACAAAUGGAUCAACAGCCCUGAUAGCUGUAAAUAACCAUUCCCCUCCCAGCCCUACAAGUCUCCUGGAAUCCAUAGGGAGUGCAAUAACCAACCAUUCUCUAGUACUUAGUCAGGGACACAGUCUGCAAGCAGGUGCUGGCCUAGCACAGCAUAGCACCACUGCCUCUGCUUUUGAGACUUCACCUGGCUCUGAUCAGAGUCUGGUCACCACAGGCCAGCUGGUAGCAGUUGGAGGGGUAGAUGACUCCAGAAGCCUAGAAGGAGCAGUCCACCAGAUUCUCUUAGGAGAUGUACAGACUGUUCCAGUACGGAUUGUGGACAGCCAUCCAGCACUUACUCUGUCUACCUCAAGCGUGCUCAGUAUCCACACAGAUGUGUCUUCCUUCACACUUAGGGCUUCCACCCACGUCCCAUGCCCUCAGGCCCUCUGGUUCUCAGUGUUUCACUGUCAUACUGUUGGAGCAGCUGGUCAGAAACUAUCCAGGAAGCAACAACUAAGCUGUUCUUUCUGCUUCCCCACUCAAGAAGUUGCACAAGACUGGAAGGGACAUGGAGAUCAUGAAGAAGAAAGCAUUCAAACUGUCCUUCAAAAACACCAUGUUCAGAGCCUGAAAGGACCACUUACCUCUGAGAGUACUCCACACAACCAGCAAGAGACCAGAACAGAGAACAGAAGAGGAAGUUAAUUUUGUGAAAAGCUGCUUGCAGGAGUUAGAAAGCCCUUGAAGUUACAGCUCAAGAUUGCAGUUUCUUCUGGUUGAAGUGGUUCACUUUAAAUGUGCACUAGUCAUCUUCUGAAUGCGAACUGAUGUAACAACUCCAUGUUCUUGGCUGUUGACAAAGCUCUUAUCGCAUCUGAGGUGUUUCGUACAUGGAAUGGGAUGGAGAAAGUGGGAACCUUCUUGACCUUCUACUGAGAACAGAUGACCUGUGGAAAGAAAGCUUUACCAGUUUUAGAUUGCUGUCUUCACAGUAAUUUGGUGGGUGCACAGGUUUUUCAUGUCAGGUUCUAGUGCAUGUCUAACUUUGAACAUAAUACAAGCCAUAAAAUUACUUUCCCCUGGCCUCACCAUUUGUUUUUGGGUUUUGUUUUGUUUUAUUGUUGUUGGUUUUUUGUUUCCUACCACUGUACAUACUCAGCACUUUUUGAGAAUGGGGGAAUUGUUUUAACAUGUUCUCAUCUACCACUUUUCUGCCAUUCUCCCAUUGCCUCUUUCUCCUAGCACAGAAACAAAACAGAGCAGCGCAGAAACAAAAAAUUACUUCUUUAAAUAACCUGCUCUAUCAACCUUAGUUUCCCAUGUUUGGGGAUUAAUUUCCUCUCUGCUUUAUUGUGCUGGAGGUUGAUUCCUUGCAUGAAUGAAAUGUAAGAUGCUGUUAUCUUUUGCUUGACGAGGAGGAGAUACUGGGCUGAGCUCCACUACCACCUUAACUCCAAAAGUUCUUGCAGGAAGCACUUGCUACAGGUUCUGCUCCUGCACCUGCAUUUCCAUGCAGGCCAGCACAACUGCAGGGCUGUGCUGAUGUGAGCAGCAUACUGCACUAUGUGUAGCAGCAAAUUAUCAGUACAAAUAACUGUCCUUUGCCCCCUUAUAUUGUUUUGAAUCCAGAUUAGUCUGUAGGCCUGGCCCAUUGUGCACCCCACAAAUGACAAUUUGGGCAAAACUUGAAGGGGAGCACAGGAGAGGGUCAGGAAGUUCUUUAAUGUCCAACUUUUAGGUUAUGCUUCUGUAUUGGGUGCAGGUGCCCAGAUGUGGGUGGCCCUGUGCAAGACACAGCUGGUUCCAGCCAGCUCUGCAUUGGACCCCACUGCAGGACACAGCUGAGCUCACCAGCAAAGCUGGUGGCACUUCUGUGGAAGCAUGUUUAAGAAAGGGCAAAAUGCUGCAUGGCAGGGAGCAGUGAGGAAGAAAGUGAGAGAAACAGUUCUCUGAAAACCACGGUCCGAGAAGAAGGAAAUGGAGGAAUUCCUUCAGGUGCUGGAGCAGAUUUCCCUGCAGCCCACAAAGGAUCCCAUUCUGGAGCAGGUGGAAAUUUUCCUGAAGGAACUGCAGUCCACAGAGAGGAGCAGGCUUAUGCUGAAGGACUGCAGCCUGUGGACAUGACCUAUGGUGGAGCAGGCGAAAAGCGCGAGGAGGAUGGAGCAAUGCAAAGGAGCUGUUACAGACUGACUGCAACCCCUCAUUCCCCUUUGCCCUGUGCUGUUUCAGGUGUGGGGGAAAGCAGAGGAGUUGGGGGGUUUAAGGUUUGAAGUUGAGCCUGGGGAAAGAGAGGAGCGUGAGGGGAAGGUGAUUUUUAAUUUCUUUUUACUUUUCACUAUUUUAAUCUAUUUGGCAAUAAAUUAAUUUUCUUCACAUUGAAUCAAGUACUUGACAUUUAUAUCUGGACUCAAACCACAAUGGGAAAUACUGAAAUCAUUUUUCUUUGAUCAGUGCAAUCCAAUAUUGCCUUUAAUUUUUUAAGUAGGACACAAAAUGGAUCAGAUUUUAGUUUUUAAGAAGUCCAUCUGUGUGUAGAAAGGAGCGCACCUUGUUUGAAUCAGGGAGUGCAUUUUUGGAUGUAUUCUGGUUAGGCCUUUCAAGUUCUGCUCAUUCACCUUUUCACUAGAGUAAAUCUCAGCUGCACAGUCAACUCAGGAACAGGUCUAAUCCAUUGCAUUUCUGCUGAAGAAGAAUAUCAGUCAUAUUUUUACAGGUUUGAGCAUGAGAAUCAUUCAGAGGAGAGGAUGCUGCAGCAGUAGAAUCUACUUUAUCUACUUUGGUAGUGGUGUUCUUGGAGAUGUUCAGGAUGCAGCAUCUUCAUGGCAUUGUAUCUAGCUGUGUUUCAGAGAGUAGCAAAGUUUGGGGUGAGUGACAUCUUCGGUGAAAGUACUGUUAAUCUUGGGAAAAGAAAUAAAGAGUUUGGGAAUG